AUAUUCGAAAGGAUAAAGGAUAAAAUACUUAUUAAAUCGGGAAUCCGUCAACACGGACGGUAAAGAAAUGAAAACGCUGAAAGAUCAGUAUAUACAGGUUUAUUUUAGUCACUUUUGGGUUUAGAUUUGAUUUAAAAAAUUAUUCAACGUAGAACGGGGCGUUUAAAGAACAUAAUACGAUCAUGUUCUCCCCAUUCGUUUCUUGCUCGUUCAACCGGCUACAGUCUAUACUCUAUACGUUCACGAGAUACCUGAUCUGCGUAUUUCGAUACCUUAAGGUCGGCCGCAAAUAGAAAUCUCACUGUUUGCAUUCAACAUUGACUUACUUUAAAGUAACCAAGAUAAAAGAAAGAGUGUCAUCUAUAAUCGAGAAUGAUCGAUGAUCGGUAUAGUAAAGAAAAACGUUAGAAACGAAAGUGCAAUCGUCUAUUCAUCAAGAUUCUAAUUAAUAAUCGAGUUCCAAUACGGAACGCUCGACUACGCGAAACGCAUGUCAAAACAAGUCUUGUACGUAUGCAACGCGACUCGAACUAGAAAAUGUUAGGAAUGUGUCGUGAACAUACGCGUUUGAUUCAAUGGUGUUCAAGUUCGCAUUCAACACUGAGAAACCUAAAAAAGUUAGUCCUGCCAAUUGUCAUAUUUUGACAAAAUCAUCGCUUCGUCUAUCGCAAGAAAGGUCAAAAUAGAAACAUGUCUUUGCUGUGCAAAUGAAAAGUGUAUAAAAAAAGGAAUUCCUGAUACUUUUUACAGGUUCAAGUUCAUGUAUGUUAAAGAUAACAUUAAGCUAUUUUAUUUUCAUUGAGAAUCACUUUGCGCUACAUUCUUAACGAGAAGAGUUAGGUUGAAGAGACUGUGGCUCAAGAAUUGCUGCAUUCCCCAACAUAACGGGUCGCACAGAAAGUAACUCGUUUAAAAAUUUUCGAAAAAGCCUUUCGUUUCUCUAUCGAAUAUUCCGGAUCUAUUGUUUGUUCGAACAUAGCUGAAAACUCAUCGCAAAUAGUUAGGGACAAGCCAUCGUUUAUACGAGAACAAAUUGAAAUCAAUUGAAUUGAAUGAGUGUUAGCAAAUGCGUAUAUACAUAUACUACCGCGUUGUUUCCUUGAAGCAAUUGUGAUUCAACUUUACAAGCGUGGGAUUUAUCGAUACUAUUAAUAUUUCAUAACAUCUUUCUUGUGCAAAAUCGUUUGUUACUGCUCAUUGAAAUCGUCAUAUUUUUAGGACACGAAUGAAAAAUCAUAUAAAGAAUGCGAUUAUAAGAAUUAGAUACUAAUUCUUUUUAUUUCAUAUUGACCAUCAAAAGCAACAAACUUAUGUAAGAGUAAUAUACUAUAGUUUGCUUUGUCGCUGCACGAAUGGUAGCAUAAUUAACGCAUAAUCGAUACUUUCAUAGUCGAUAUGUAUUCUCAUCAAGCGAUACGGUGAUUUGCGCGUCAUAACUAACUGGUAAUUUUAAUCAUUGACUUCAUGAGCAAACUUGCUCGUAAUAUCGGGGAAACAAGGCAUGUGCCUUAGGACUGGCUUUUCGAUUUAGAAAUCGAAAAAUUCUUACUUAUAAUAAAUUAGAAUGAAAUCUAAUUUAUUUUGAACAUAUUAAAAAUUCGUAUCGAUAUUACAAAACCUUUAAUCCGGAUGAUUAAAAGUAUGCUCAAAUUGAUUUAGAAAGAAUUUCUAAAGAAAAGUUAAAGAAGCCGAAUUGGGACGCUCGUAAGUAGAGAAAGACAAAGCAAGUGGAAUAGGGAAAUUAGCAAUGUCGUGUCUGACACGGUCAAACGCAUAAGAACGCAUUCCACGUGUCACCAUGCCAUAAGUUAUUUGGCGAACGAAACAACCGCAAACAUUUCUUCCUCGAUAACUAAUAACGGUGCAGGGCAUGCACGGUCUUGCAUAAGAUUACACAAAAACGGGACUGUAAUUAACGAAUCCUACGAAUCAUAGGAAUGUUACGAUCGUAUUUGCAAUGACGUAGCGUGAAUCCGGUUAAAAGUUGGACAUCUGUAAUAAACUGGAAUAAACGGCAUAACAAGAAAUUAUGUCGAUAAAUAGGAAAAAGAAUACUUCCAUAUUAAAAAAAGAUAUUAUCUGUUUCUUAAAGUUUGUAUUUUCCAUAUUAACUACCUAGAGGCCUAUUUGUAACAUCGAAGAAAGAAAUUAUUAAAUAAGAUAGCUAAAGUACGAUAUUAUACGGUAACAUUGUAUAACGAGAUUAUUGAAAUAGGCAUAACGUGUACACUAUGCUUCGUUAAAUAAACGAAAGGAAAAAAAUUCAAGAAGGAAAGGAAACGAUGACGUCGUAUAUGUGUCAGUGGAACAUCACGUGGAUGCGUGAAAUCGUAAGUCAAUGACCUGACCGAUGACCUGAAGCAGGCAUUAGUACCUCCCCAUCAAGCGGUGGGGGAACAUUUUAAAUAGGUACUUUCAUCAAGAUAGAAAGGGAAAUAGUAUUUAUCAAUACAAAAAUUAAAUCCUUGUUGUCGAUCAUACGGUUGACAAAUGCCAAGUAUUAUACAAUAACUGUAGAUAAAUACAUCUUUGAACAAAUAUAUCCUAGUAUAUGACUACCACGAU